rnacentral:rRNA from 1 species
AUUCCAGCUCCAAUAGCGUAUAUUAAAGUUGUUGCGGUUAAAAAGCUCGUAGUUGGAUUUCUGGUGGGAGCGUUGGGCCGGCCCUAAGGGUCUGAGCUCAAAUGUUUUCCGCCAUCCUUGGAGGGAUGUUGUCUGGCAUUAAGUUGUCGGGCUUCCGAUCUCCAUCGUUUACUGUGAAAAAAUUAGAGUGUUCAAAGCAGGCUUAUGCCGUUGAAUACAUUAGCAUGGAAUAAUAAGAUAGGACCUUGGUACUAUUUUGUUGGUUUGCGUACCUAGGUAAUGAUUAAUAGGGACAGUUGGGGAUAUUACUAUUUCGUUGUCAGAGGAGAAAUUCUUGGAUUUACGAAAGAGUAACUACUGCGAAGGCAUUUAUCAAGAAUGUUUUCAUUA